UGACUCAUUUGCAUUCAUGAAAAAUAGAUAAGGUAGCACAAAUUUCAUGAGAUUCUAUGUUAAAUUGUGCAUGCAAGUAUUUAUAUGACAAGGGGUGUGAUAUCCUUUUUUAUUAGAUUUUCAAAUUGUUUCCUGGCUCCCCCCCACUUUCCCCUGGCUCCUCCAAUUUAGGACCAUUGAUAUUGGAAUUUUCUUAAUAAAGAAGCAGAGCAAAAGGAACUUUUAGCAAAAAAAUGUAACAUGAGUAGAGCCUCUCAUGUGAAUGAGUAUAGGAUGUGUUAAAAAAUUUCACAUAAUUUGGGGGCAGUUGGAGCAGUGGGUACAAUGGGGAACGCCUGAAGGUGAUGCUGCAGAGAUAUCUGUCAGAUAUUGUGAAAGGCCCUAUGAUUUGAGCAUGAAUUUAAGCUGCAUUUUGUGACUAGUAAGAGGAAAUUACAACAUUUGAAGCAGGAAACAAUAAUUGGGUUUUUUAAAAAAAAUUUGUUUGAUUUUUAAAAUAGUUUAUUGUUUGUUUAUUUUGGCCGUGCUGGGUGUUCGUUGCUAUACGGGGCCUACUCUUCGUUGUGGUGCAUAUGCUUCUCAUCACCAGGAGCAUGGGCUCCAGGCGCACAGGCCUCCGUAGUUGCAGCGCUGGGUUUAGCUGCCCUGCAGCAUGUGGACUCCUCCCCCUGGAUCAGAGAGCGAACUCGUGUUCCCUACAUUGGUAGGAAGAUUCUUAAGCACUGGACCACCAGGGAAGUCCUACAGUGGAUUUUUUAAAGACAAGUGAUGUGAAGGCAUGAUAUCCAGAGCUGUGGCAGCCUUCUCAGGAACAUGAGUGAGAAGCUAAGAAAAUUAGACAGAUGUUGUCUGGGAAGCUGCAACCUACCUUCCAGUUCUAUGAAAUAGCGAACUAUUUCAUUGAUCAGCACGCCAGGCCUCCCUGUCCAUCAUCAACUCCCGGAGUUCACUCAGACUCACGUCCAUCGAGUCAGUGAUGCCAUCCAGCUAUCACGGAAUAAAUUGAGAACCAAGAUAGAAAGUAACAGAAGACCUACUGUUGACUGGGUAGUCAGAGAAUUUUUCUCGGAGGUGGAAAUUAAAGGUGAAAGA